rnacentral:tRNA from 4 species
GGCGGUGUAGCUCAGUGGUUAGAGCGAGCGGCUCAUAACCGCUAGGUCAAGGGUUCGAGUCCCUUCACCGCCACCA